UGGUGGAGUGAUUUGUCUGGUUAAUUCCGUUAACGAACGAGACCUCAGCUUGUUGGUUGUUCCGAGCUUUUCUUUUGAAAAGUUUGGGAGGAUUGAGAAGGACUGUCGGUGUUUAGCCGAUGGAAGUUUGAGGCAAUAACA
rnacentral:rRNA from 1 species